rnacentral:rRNA from 1 species
CAGUCGCCACGGGAAUACGUAGGGUGCAAGCGUUAAUCGGAAUUACUGGGCGUAAAGCGUGCGCAGGCGGUUAUAUAAGACAGAUGUGAAAUCCCCGGGCUCAACCUGGGAACUGCAUUUGUGACUGUAUAGCUAGAGUACGGCAGAGGGGGAUGGAAUUCCGCGUGUAGCAGUGAAAUGCGUAGAUAUGCGGAGGAACACCGAUGGCGAAGGCAAUCCCCUGGGCCUGUACUGACGCUCAUGCACGAAAGCGUGGGGAGCAAACAGGAUUAGAUACCCCAGUAGUCCCUGUCUCUUAUAA